rnacentral:lncRNA from 1 species
UUUGUAGUAUUAUUAAGUGUUGAAAAAUAAAUGUUAGGAUAAACUUCAAAUACCACUCCUAUGACUUCGCACUUUCUCGCUUUAGUUUUUUAUGAUUUAAAGUAUAUUAAAUUAGUAUCAUAUCGUUUCAUUUUUCUCCUUUCGUUAGCUUCUCCGUCAUUAAAUUAUAUAUAAAAAAACUUCCGAUACCCCACAUAGAUUUACUGAAUAUUCACUUUAAUACCUUUUAGUUUUAACUUUGUCACUGAUUUAAAAAAAAAUAGUAGAGGAGAUAAUAAAGAGAAAAAAAUAAAGUUAUAAAAUACUAAAUUGAUAUACUUUAAACUACAGAGUACUAAAAUAAAAAAGUAUAAAAUCAUAAGGGUGUUAUUUGAACUUUUUUCUAAAAUGUUAUGUUAAG